GACGAACGCUGGCGGCGUGCUUAACACAUGCAAGUCGAACGAAGUGGCGAACGGGUGAGUAACGCGUAAUCAACCUGCCCUUCAGAGGGGGACAACAGUUGGACACGACUGCUAAUACCGCAUACUGAAGGAGGGGAGUGCGUAUGAUUAGCUAGUUGGAGGGGUAACGGCCCACCAAGGCGAUGAUCAGUAGCCGGGCUGAGGGGAUGAAUGGCCACAUGUGGCCUGGAAAACGGCCCAGACUCCUAAGGGAGGGAGCAGGGGGGAACCUUCCGCAAUGGAGGAAAGUCUGACGGAGCAACUCCGCGUGAGUGAUGACGGCCUUCGGGUUGUAAAGCUCUGUUAAGCGGGACGCGGUACCGGAAUAGAAAGCCACGGCUAACUACGUGCCAGCAGCCGCGGUAAUAC
rnacentral:rRNA from 1 species